CCCACAGCCGGAGCCACAGCCUCCAGAGCAGCCACAGCAGCCCAUGGUUCUGGUGGAUUGAGGGUGGAGCAGGUAGAGGAGCAGGUGAGAGGGAGGUGCAGGUGUGGAGCUCCCUGAGCCUGGGCCCUUUAUAUCCCUGCCCAGGGUCAGGUGUGAAGCUGGGCACAUGGUCACUUCCUGGUUCCUCUUUGUGCCAUUCUCCCAGGAAGAUUUUGUUUGCUUUCUUGAAACUAGAAACAACCACGUUCUGUUUAUUGUGUUUUGCAGUUUUACUUCUGGCUCUGCGUCUCUACUCUGACUGGCGCGUGCCACACCCGUGUAUCAUGGAACUGACUGGGGCUCGCGGGCGCCCGCUGGACCUGCCACACAUCCCCUUCCCCAGUGGUUGUCCUCACACGACUCCUGGCCAUCAGGGGAAUGCCUCUGAACAGCCACCAAGAGACCCGGAGAGCUUGGCCAGGAGGGGCGUGCAGGACCUCGUAGCUUUCACAGCUCUUAGGGCAGGAGGCUGGGAUCAACUCCUCCCUCCUGGGGGGCUCCCCAGCUGGGCAGCUGCCAGGAGCUGCUUGCAGGGCCUCACGCCUGAGGCUGCAUCAAACCCAAGGUCACGCAUGUGCAGGGUGAUGGGGCUGGGAGGGGCCCGACACACUCGUUCAGAAAGGCAGAGCUGGCGGGGUUACUCUUCCGACACUGUCGAGAGAGACCUUUGCAGGAUGUCAGAAAAGGAGGGAGCUAGAGGCAGGGGUGAAGCCUGUGUCCCUGUCCUGGGGCUCCCGUGACAAAUGACCACAGACUGGGGGCUCAGACAAGAGGAAUUAGUUCUCUCACAAUUACAGAGGACAGACACCUGGGUGUCUGCAGGCUGAGCUCCCGCCAAAGGCUCUCGGGAGGCUUCUUCCUGCCUCUUCCAGCUUCUGGGCUCCGGGUGUUCCCUGGCUGUUCCUUGACUGUGGCCGCAUGGCCCAGCCUCUGCCUCCGCAGCCACAGGGCCGUCUCCUGCGCUCCAGGCCUCUCUUCUCCUGCAGUCAGGUUCCUCCGGCCUCCCUCUUACCAGGACGCUGAGGUCACGCUCAGGGCCCGCCCCGGAGUCUAGGAUAUCCUUCCCAUCUCAGGAUCCUAGACACAAUCACGUUUGCCAAGGCCCCUUACAUCCACAGGACCCAGGAACCUGGACUUGGGGGCCAGGAAGGCAUCGGUCAGCCAAGCACAAGACCCCUGGGGUCACCCUUGGUGCCUGUCUCUGUACAACAAGAUGAAAACUAGGCGCAGCUACACUGGAAGACGGAAUGCUGGCUAUGACAUACUUAUCCAAAAUGUUGCUUCCAGGCCAGGAUGAGCUUGCACAGAACAUUGCCUGACGCUCACAGACCGCGGACACAGACCGCGGGACACGAGGAGACCCACAAAAGCCCCAAAGUUUCUGCCACCUUACCAGGGCCUGCCCCCUCUUGCCCACCACCCCCGAGGGGCAGUGGCUCCUGCGGGGAGGCCACCUGGAACCCGAAGCUGUGUUCAUAAGGGACCCACCUUGUUGUACAGAG